rnacentral:rRNA from 1 species
GACGUAGGGCGCGAGCGUUGUCCGGAUUUAUUGGGCGUAAAAGGAGCUCGUAGGCGGGCUUGUUGCGUCAGCUGUGAAAACCCGCAGCUCAACUGUGGGCUUGCAGCUGAUACGGGCAGGGCUUGAGUUGGUAGGGGAGACUGGAAUUCCUGGUGUAGCGGUGAAAUGACGCAGAUAUCAGGAGGAACACCAGCGGCGGAAGGCGGCGCUCGUGGGCCGGAACUGACGCUGAGGAGCGAAAGCGUGGGUAGCAAACAGG